GCAACUUCUACCCAUUGGUUGGUCAAAAAUCCUUCAUUUUGAGUCAACUAAGAUUCAUUGUUGCUAGAUUAUUAUUUCCGUGACUUACCAUGUAGAUGGGCAGCAAUUCCUUUUUACAGAAGUAGAAGCGUUACAAUC
rnacentral:snoRNA from 1 species